GUUGAACGCUGGCGGCAUGCCUUACACAUGCAAGUCGAACGGUAACGCGGGGCAACCUGGCGACGAGUGGCGAACGGGUGAGUAAUGCAUCGGAACGUGCCCAGUAGUGGGGGAUAGCCCGGCGAAAGCCGGAUUAAUACCGCAUACGACCUACGGGUGAAAGGGGGGGAUCGCAAGAGCUCUCGCUAUUGGAGCGGCCGAUGUCAGAUUAGCUAGUUGGUGGGGUAAAAGCCUACCAAGGCGACGAUCUGUAGCUGGUCUGAGAGGACGACCAGCCAUGCUGGGAUCGACACACGGCCCAGAAACCUUCGGGAGGCAGCAGUGGGGAAUUUUGGACAAUGGGAGAGAGCCUGAUUCAGCCAUGCCGCGUGCGGGAAGAAGGCCUUCGGGUUUUAAACCGCAUUUGUCAGGGAAGAAAUCUUCUGAGUUAAUUCCUCGGGAGGAUGACGGUACCUGAAGAAUAAGCACCGGCUAACUACGUGCCAGCAGCCGCCGUAA
rnacentral:rRNA from 1 species